GGGUGAGUAAUGCCUAGGAAUCUGCCUGGUAGUGGGGGACAACGUUUCGAAAGGAACGCUAAUACCGCAUACGUCCUACGGGAGAAAGCAGGGGACCUUCGGGCCUUGCGCUAUCAGAUGAGCCUAGGUCGGAUUAGCUAGUUGGUGGGGUAAUGGCUCACCAAGGCGACGAUCCGUAACUGGUCUGAGAGGAUGAUCAGUCACACUGGAACUGAGACACGGUCCAGACUCCUACGGGAGGCAGCAGUGGGGAAUAUUGGACAAUGGGCGAAAGCCUGAUCCAGCCAUGCCGCGUGUGUGAAGAAGGUCUUCGGAUUGUAAAGCACUUUAAGUUGGGAGGAAGGGCAGUAAGCUAAUACCUUGCUGUUUUGACGUUACCGACAGAAUAAGCACCGGCUAACUCUGUGCCAGCAGCCGCGGUAAUACAGAGGGUGCAAGCGUUAAUCGGAAUUACUGGGCGUAAAGCGCGCGUAGGUGGUUUGUUAAGUUGGAUGUGAAAGCCCCGGGCUCAACCUGGGAACUGCAUCCAAAACUGGCAAGCUAGAGUACGGUAGAGGGUGGUGGAAUUUCCUGUGUAGCGGUGAAAUGCGUAGAUAUAGGAAGGAACACCAGUGGCGAAGGCGACCACCUGGACUGAUACUGACACUGAGGUGCGAAAGCGUGGGGAGCAAACAGGAUUAG
rnacentral:rRNA from 1 species